AAUAGUCCAAACUUGGUGGGUCAUAAUAACGUGCCUGAUGACCCUGAGAGCAGGGACAUUAAGCUUUAUAUGAGUAAAACUUCAUAAACUAUUAUAUAAUUGUUACAUAGAGAUGUAAAAUUGACUCAUUAAAUUUUAUAUUUAAGGAACUGUUCGUGAUAACGACAAUCAAAAUUAAGACGUAAGAAGGACAUCAUAAAAAGUGAACAGUUAAACAAGAAAAACCAAAGACAUGAAUAUUUUUUUUUAAAGUAGUCUCGUCAUCACGAUUUUAUCUUUAACAUUCAUCAUAAUACCGCCUGACCUUUUCAUCAAAUAUUGAAUAAUCGUUUCUAGCACGAAACGACGAAAUGAUUUAAAAUUAGUGUACCCUUGUCAAUAAUCUACAAGAAAAAUAGCCAUUUUACAAGAAAAUAUUUAAUUUUUUGCCGAUUCUAUCGUGUGGGUAUUAACAAGGCCUUUUUAAAAAUCAAUUCCAUUAUCAGUACUAGAUGGUGAGGGACGGGACCCUACAUAUCCGGGAUGGACCAUCCCCAGAAAAUUCCUGGGGAUUCGUGCCUACCAGCGGCCUAACUGAACACUGGUAGUUAGUUGGUCAUGGGUUCACGCCUCCCCAAAGGGCUGGCCACGUGAUGUUUUCCGUGAUUUCUUCACCUAAAUAGGGCCCGAUUUCCCGUAGAAAGCCCUUCCACUCGGCAGAUCGCCCACGUAUCACGUUGCCGGAUACAAAAUAACUGUCGGAUUUGUUCCCGGUUUCCUCAGAGCUGUAGUUUGACACCUUAAGUGCUCGACAUCCCGUCAUCUUACCGGAAAAUAUUGCACUUCAGGUACGAAUCAAAUAAAAUAAUUGAUAUGCCAAACUUACUAUUAAAUGUGGAUUUUUCCGUAAUUUAAAUGAGGAAAGAAAUAUAAAAAAAAUUAGACAAGAAUUUAAGAGUUAUAUUUUCAAAGGCGAGAAAAAAAAGGUAAUUUAAAUAAACACGUGUGUUUGCACGCGCCAUUAUCUAUUAAAACAGGACAAUUUUUGUACAUCUUAACUUCCUACAAAUGCCAAAGAUGCGAUAAUAAUGAAGCGUUAAUCGUCGGGCACACCUUUGUUUCUGUGUGAGACAUAACGAAUAUUUGACAGAUGGGCCACUAAGAAGGGUGGAUGACGUGAAAAAAUCAGAAUACAGAAGUAGAAACAGAUGGAAAAUACAUUUCAAGAUGUCAGACAAUUUGCAAGAUGUGACAUUGGAGAAAAUCAAAAGCUAAAGAUUUUGAACUUCAUGAAAAGAUUUGGAAAAGUCUCUCUCUGUCUCACAAUUGGUAGAUUUUUGAUUAUUGACAAGAGAAUUCCCCUGAAGAUGGCAAAAACGUUGCAUUCAGUUUUCUCUGGUUUCAAAAAGCUAAAAAGCAUUUCGAAUGAAGAACAAAACUGUUUAGAGAUUUAUAAAAUUAAUUUCACAGAAACGAAUUAAACAAAGAAAAAACUUUUGUAGAAAUGUGUAGUUUGUAUUAAACAGUUUUUCUUGGCAAAUCUUUAUCGUAAAUUAAAUGUCUUUCUGUAAUUAAAUGUAUGGCUUAAAAUAGUUUAAAAUGGCUUAAAUUUUUUUUCGAAAAUAUCGGUAA